rnacentral:rRNA from 1 species
GGAGGAAAGCAGGGGAUCGCAAGACCUUGCGCUUUUGGAGUGGCCGAUGCCUGAUUAGCUAGUUGGUGGGGUAAUGGCCUACCAAAGCGACGAUCAGUAGUUGGUCUGAGAGGACGACCAGCCACACUGGGACUGAGGCACGGCCCAGACUCCUACGGGAGGCAGCAGUGGGGAAUUUUGGACAAUGGGCGAAAGCCUGAUCCAGCAAUGCCGCGUGAGUGAAGAAGGCCUUCGGGUUGUAAAGCUCUUUCAGUCGAGAAGAAAAGGUUGUGACUAAUAAUCACAACUCAUGACGGUAUCGACAGAAGAAGCACCGGCUAACUACGUGCCAGCAGCCGCGGUAAUACGUAGGGUGCGAGCGUUAAUCGGAAUUACUGGGCGUAAAGGGUGCGCAGGCGGCUUUGUAAGUCAGAUGUGAAAUCCCCGGGCUUAACCUGGGAAU